UGGGGAAUUUUGCACAAUGGGGGAAACCCUGAUGCAGCGACGCCGCGUGAUUUAGAAGGCCUUCGGGUUGUAAAAAUCUUUUUUACGGGAUGAAAAUGACAGUACCGUAAGAAUAAGGUCCGGCUAAAUACGUGCCAGCAGCCGCGGUAAUACGUAUGGACCGAGCGUUGUCCGGAAUCAUUGGGCGUAAAGGGUACGUAGGCGGCCUAGUAAGUUAGAAGUGAAAUAAUAUAGCUCAACUAUAUAAAGCUUUUAAAACUGCUAGGCUUGAGAGAUGGAAGGGAAAGUGGAAUUCCUCGUGUAGCGGUGAAAUGCGCAGAUAUUAGGAAGAAUACCGGUGGCGAAGGCGACUUUCUGGUCAUCAUCUGACGCUGAGGUACGAAAGCGUGGGUAGCAAACAGG
rnacentral:rRNA from 1 species